GCAGCAUGUGAGAGAGUGAUUUAGAUGAGAAGGGGGAUAAUUUCAGGAACUCUGUGAGGGGCUGUUCCCUAUGACUCAACUUCCCUAUCUGCAGAAUGAGGGAGCCCACAAAAUACCUGCAAAACACUGUUUCUCGUGGAGAUAGGCAACCAAUCAACUAAGACGUUUGGCACUAGGGGUCUGGACCAAACUCCAACACGGAUAUGAAAGAGCCGUGCAGACCGGAGAGGGCUUGAUGACUGAAAACUGUAGUUUCUAUUACUCUCUAGAUCCUCUAGUCAAUGGGAAGAUCAAGUUUGAUUUCUGCUUCAUAAAGAAAGAGGAAUCCACAACCUAAAUCCACUUGACUGUAUUGUGUUACCCACUUUCCCUGUUGCCUGACAACAGGGACUUAAGGGAGGGAUGCAAGCAGAGGUGGAGCUUUCCUUUUUCCCGCCACCUGUCCCAAAUAAUCACACACAAGCUUAUACUAAUUACAGAAUGCACAGCCUAUGGGUGAGCCUUAUUACUAACUAGCUCCUUCAACUUGCUUAAUCCAAUCCUAUUCAUCUAUAUUUUGCAACAUGAACUCCACUUCUUGGAACAGUAUGUCCAAGUUCACGCAAUCCUAUGAAACCCUAAGACACCACGUUCUCAAUUAAUGAUGAAUGAAUGAAUGAAUGAGCAAUUCCUCUAAGGGGUUUUCUGUAUUGAAUUCCACAAUAAGGAAGUAAUUUGGAAUAUCUCAAGCUUUUCUCCUAAGAGCUCCACAGCUGGACAUCUCUGAGAUGCAGGAUCCUGGCCAGUCUGGAUGUCAAUAUGCAAACGAAGGAACCUACAGCAACUUCUGUGAAGAACCUCUACCAUGUUAAUUCCCUUCAGUGACCUCAAGCCAGGAUUCUGGUAGAAGAAACAGGAGCGGAUGGAGAAGUACCAAGACACCCUCACUAGAAAAGCCCUCGAGGCCAUCAUUCAACUGUACACAUACAUGUGUGCGUGAGUGGAGAUACACACUUUGGGUAGUUGAUGACAAAUAAAAUGGCUGUUUGACAAUCCUUCAGACAGGAAGAGAGAUGAGGAGUGGUAGAGCCCUUACCUGCUAUAAACGAGGAAGAGAUUGUGUCCCAGAAAAGAGAAAUCACUAUUCCUGAGUCACACUGCUGGCAGAAGCAAGCAUUGAACCCAGGUGUCCUGACGCCAGGUCUAGGACAACACCACAGUGCAGCCACCCAGGAUUGCAAACCUGAUUUACACCAUCACUUGUAGGUUUUUACAGUCUCCAACCUGGGCUUCCCAGCACCCUGUGGAGUGUAGAAGCACCCCUCACCUCACACACAUUGACUUCAGCAAUGCCAGCCCAUUGGUCGCUCUACCAUCAAGCCCGAGUCUCCCGUUGUGAAUCAUCUCUUAAAGGAGUUUUACAUCUGCUGCAGGGAAAUUUACGGGCCUCAAGUUACCAGCCAUAAUUUUGGUCAUUUGGGGGAAAUAAUGAUGCUAUAGUCGUCACUUUCCAAAUGUUGCAGGAACCUGACCCCAAUCAAGAAACCUCUCAAUAAAUCAGCUCAAAAAUGGCAUCCAUUUCUUGCCUUGCUGUUCAGAAGGUCGCAGCUCUGAAUCAGUGUCUGGGCUGGAGAAAGCAUCCAACUCACAGUCUCGUCUAGAUUUUCAUAACAGCUGCCAUUGUUCAAAGAGGGAUUCAUAACUCUCCGUGGACUCCAGCCAACGGGCCUGAGCCAGACCCACUAUUUAUGUCUGUUUGCUUGCGCGAAGUGCUCUAUGGUUUUCAGGAGUUGCUCUUUCAGUGUGGGAGCUGUUCAGGUCUCCUCGGCCUGGUGCUGCCUGUGGACAUCACUUCACAGCAAACACUCCUUGCUGACAAGCUGUUGUAAGUCUUCUUUGGCCCUUGAUUUAUGUUCAGAUGACCAGGAUCAUUGUACAACAAGACUGAGGUCAUUAAGAGCAAAAGCAACAGCCAACUCUUUGGAAGUGAUUGCGCUGAGCCAAGAAACACUCAUUAAUUCACGCACUGCUAAAAACAACUCCGUGAUGGUGGAAUCCUGCUAUCCUCAACCCCAGGAAACUGAGGCACAGCUUGGGUGGGUCGUACACUAAUACUCAGAAGAGCUGGGGUGAGAGGCCGAGAAGACUGGUUCCUGUGACCCCUUCUUAUAAAAAGAGAUUUAUUGUCUAUAAUUUACAUACCAUAUAACUCACCCUCUUGACGUCUACAGUUCAGUGUGUGUUAGUACAUUCCAAACUGGGCAACUGUCAUCACUUUCUAAUUCCAGGAUAUUUUCCUCACCCUCAAGGAGACCCUGUACACAUUUGUAAACAUCCCUAACCUUGCUUCUGUGGUCCUCAGCCGUCACAAAUCCAUUCUCUGUCUUUGUUUUUCUUUUCUGAAUUACUUCAUUCAAAUGGAAACAUGCAAUAUGUAACCUUUUGUAUCCAGAAAGUUUCCAAGGUCCAUCCAUUAGUUGUAUGUAUCAAUACUUCAUUCUUUUUACAGCCAAAUGUCACCUGUUGUGUGGAGACCUGCUUUGUUUAUCCAUUGACCAGCUGGAUGCUUCCACUCUUUUGCUCAGUAUGAAUAAUGCUGUUGUAUUUGUUGCUUUUCUCUUUUUUAAAU